UUUUAAGUAUUUUGCACUUCAUUGUGUAAGAUACAGAUAAUACAAAAACUGUACCAUAUUCAAGGAAGCUAAUUUGAGUUUGAUUAUGCAAGGCGUAAAGAAAUAUUUUCCAUCUGCAAAAGGAAUACAAAACUUAGGAGAAUCACCUUAAUUGUGAUAAGACCAUCAUAAGAAUUAAUAAAGCAUAAUACCUGUAAAAAUUGUGGACUUUAUUAUACCAGGACGGGUGGCAGAUGAAAUUAAUACCAACAUCACAGCAAAUGGAACAUACACUUUGAACUUGUCUGGAUAACGCUGCUGAAUCGGAGGACUAGAUACGAACCCUCUGCGAUUACCCGUCCAUUAUCAUCCAGACAGCGAGGAGGAGAAGGGGCGAUGGAGGGGAAGUAAAACGAAACAGCCAGUACAGUAGGUCGAAUGCUAGACAGAAAACGAAAUUGAGAUGAUAAAAAAUUCGCCCAAAAUCGGCGUUAUUGGGCGGCGUUAUUUUAACAGCUCACAAUAGUGUUCACAGCUUCCGCUUCCCUAGUAACAUGUUUCAUCCUGUGUUAUAUUUUGAAAAAAAUAAAUAUAGA